rnacentral:lncRNA from 1 species
CGAGUGUACCUUUUACCCCACAUCCUUGCCAACACUUAUUGUUGUUUGUCCUCAUAAUAGCUGUCAUUCUAACUGAGGUGAGAUGAAAUCUUAGAGUGGUUUUGAUUUGCAUUUCUUUAACUGUUAGAGGUGACGAACAUUUUUUCAUAUAUUUGUUGAUUGAUUGUACAUCACCUUCUGAGAAGUGUCUCUUCAGGUCCUUGGCCCAUUUAGAAAAUCGUUUUGAACAUCACAUUUAACUGCAUUAAAUUGGCAACCCAAUGGGGUCAACCAGAAUGUAUCUUGUUCACCUCUAUAGUCUCUCUGUUUUCCCCUGGAACUUCACCACUAGCAGUUCCAGGUGACAUUUAGCUAGCUGCUACAUGUCUUUGCACCUGUUCUUCACCGAAUGCCCUUCUUCUGCCUCUCUCUAUCUCCCUCUGGUAUCCCUGUGAAGUCUUGCUCAGGGGGAGCAGGCCCUCCUUUCUAUGAGCUGUUUCUGUCUCCGGUCCAUAAUGGAACACCUGCAGAACUGGCUCUCACCAGCCACUGGCUGAGAGGUUCUGCCGUUACUUGUUCUUCCCACAUAUCCUUGGCAUGACACUAUUUCAGACAGCAGAAAGGGGAACUUUCUUUUUCUCAUCCACUCCUCAGAGAAUCAAGAACUGUGUGCACACCAAGCGCUGUGAUAACAUUAGGGAUAAAACAGUGAUGUUUUCAGAGUAUACCUGUUAGAAUUUUCUCCGCCCCAUUUGUUGAUACAGUGGGAGGAAGGAAAGAUAGAUUUGGAUGGUUUUUACCACCUAGAGUCUGAGUGCAUAUCUUGGCUUCAUCAUUUGGUAGUCCUGUAACUUUGGACAAGUUUCCAAGUUUUUCCAUACCUCAGUUUUCCAUUUGUAAAGUAGGCUCCUUUAGAAUUGUGACAGGGGUCAAGUGGGUGUUAUGUGUAAAGCUCUUAGACUGUCU